rnacentral:rRNA from 1 species
UACGGGGGGAGCAAGCGUUGUUCGGAUUUACUGAGCGUAAAGGGCGCGUAGGCGGCCACCGCAAGUCGACUGUGAAAUCUCCGGGCUUAACCCGGAAAGGUCAGCCGAUACUGCGGGGCUAGAGUGCAGAAGGGGCAACUGGAAUUCUCGGUGUAGCGGUGAAAUGCGUAGAUAUCGAGAGGAACACCUGCGGCGAAGGCGGGUUGCUGGGCUGACACUGACGCUGAGGCGCGAAAGCUAGGGGAGCGAACGGG